UACGUAGGGACCGAGCGUUGUCCGGAAUCAUUGGGCGUAAAGAGCGUGUAGGCGGCUUGUUAAGUCUUGCGUGAAAUCUCGGGGCUCAACCCCGAGCGGUCGUGAGAAACUGGCAGGCUAGAGUGCGGGAGAGGAGAGUGGAAUUCCUGGUGUAGCAGUGAAAUGCGUAGAGAUCGGGAGGAACAUCUGUGGCGAAGGCGGCCAUCUGGACCAGCACUGACACUGAGGCACGAAAGCGUGGGGAGCAAACAGG
rnacentral:rRNA from 1 species